ensembl:snRNA U7 U7 small nuclear RNA
AAGUGAUCCAGCUCUUCUAGAAUUUUGUCUAGCAGGUUUGUGGUUUAUCCCGGAGAGACCCCU